AUUAAAAGACCACUAGAUGGUACAAAGAGAAACCAGACUAGACCAUGAACGCCAAGACCAAAUACAUACUAAAGAACAUGAUUGAAAAGCACAUUAACAAACCAAAAAAGAAACGAUGCAAGUUGUCCAAGGACCACAGGAGACAGACAGACAUCAGAAUGGGGAAGAAAAUCAAAGCCCAGGCAAGAAUCUCCAAGCUAGAAGGACCCAGCUCUGCAUUAACCAGGGACUAAGCAACCAGAACCAAGCUUGGUGCUUUUAAUCCACUCAACCGAACAACAUGCCUAGCUUAAGAAACAAUCCCAGAACAUUAAAAACAAAAUUACGAUAAUGGAAAAAGGGUGUGACCAUUUGGGAGUGGCAUUGGACUAAACGUGGGCAUCGAAUUCUUCGAGGAUGCGGGAGAUGGCUUUGAAG
rnacentral:misc_RNA from 1 species